rfam:Schistosoma rodhaini strain Burundi genome assembly, scaffold: SROB_scaffold0000318
AUCCAGCUGACGAGUCCCGAAUAGGACGAAACGCGCGUCGUGGAU